GACGAACGCUGGCGGCGUGCUUAACACAUGCAAGUCGAACGGAAAGGCCCUGCUCUUGUGGGGUGCUCGAGUGGCGAACGGGUGAGUAACACGUGAGUAACCUGCCCUUGACUUUGGGAUAACUUCAGGAAACUGGGGCUAAUACCGGAUAGGAGCUCCUGCUGCAUGGUGGGGGUUGGAAAGUUUCGGCGGUUGGGGAUGGACUCGCGGCUUAUCAGCUUGUUGGUGGGGUAGUGGCUUACCAAGGCUUUGACGGGUAGCCGGCCUGAGAGGGGGACCGGCGACAUUGGGACUGAGAUACGGCCCAGACUCCUACGGGAGGCAGCAGUGGGGAAUAUUGCACAAUGGGCGGAAGCCUGAUGCAGCAACGCCGCGUGCGGGAUGACGGCCUUCGGGUUGUAAACCGCUUUCGCCUGUGACGAAGCGUGAGUGACGGUAAUGGGUAAAGAAGCACCGGCUAACUACGUG
rnacentral:rRNA from 1 species